AUUGAACGCUAGCGGGAUGCCUUACACAUGCAAGUCGAACGGCAGCGCGGACUUCGGUCUGGCGGCGAGUGGCGAACGGGUGAGUGAUGUAUCGGAACGUGCCCAGUAGCGGGGGAUAACUACUCGACAGAGUAGCUAAUACCGCAUACGACCUACGAGGGAAAGGGGGGGAUCGCAAGACCUCUCACUAUUGGAACGGCCGAUAGCGGAUUAGCUAGUUGGGAGGGCAAAGGCUGACCAAGGCGACGAUCCGUAGCUGGUUUGAGAGGACGACCAGCCACACUGGGACUGAGACACGGCCCAGAUUCCUACGGGAGGCAGCAGUGGGGAAUUUUGGACAAUGGGGGCAACCCUGAUCCAGCCAUUCCGCGUGUGCGAUGAAGGCCUUCGGGUUGUAAAGCACUUUUGGCAGGAAAGAAAUCGCACGGAUUAAUACUCUGUGUGGAUGACGGUACCUGCAGAAUAAGCACCGGCUAACUACGUGCCAGCCGCCGCCGUAA
rnacentral:rRNA from 1 species